rnacentral:ncRNA from 2 species
AAAAAAUUUAAAUAGGGCGUUCAUAUAAUCGCGGAGAUAGGGUCCGCAAGUUUCUACCGGGCUGCCGUAAAUGGCCUGACUAUGAGCGAAACUGUGCCCAGG